rnacentral:rRNA from 1 species
CAACUUUCAACAACGGAUCUCUUGGCUCUCGCAUCGAUGAAGAACGCAGCGAAAUGCGAUAAGUAAUGUGAAUUGCAGAAUUCAGUGAAUCAUCGAAUCUUUGAACGCACCUUGCGCUCCUUGGUAUUUCCGAGGAGCAUGCCUGUUUGAGUGUCA